rnacentral:rRNA from 1 species
UACAGAGGGGGCAAGCGUUAUUCGGAAUUAUUGGGCGUAAAGGGCGCGUAGGCGGCUUGGCAAGUGGAAGGUGAAAUCCCUCGGCUUAACCGAGGAACUGCCUUCCAGACUGCUUUGCUUGAGUCCGGAAGAGGCGAGUGGAAUUCCCGGUGUAGCGGUGAAAUGCGCAGAUAUCGGGAGGAACACCUAUGGCGAAGGCAGCUCGCUGGGACGGUACUGACGCUGAGACGCGAAAGCGUGGGGAGCAAACAGG